AUGGAUUUGCACCAGUAAAAGUGCUACAUCUGGGACAGCAGCCGUGAGUGGAGUUGGCCACCUGAUCACAUUUAUUACAGACUUUGUAGCCCCCAUGGCCUGGUGUUGAGUCUGAUCACCCCAACAUUUCUGGCACCUAAUGUGGAGCUAUGAAGACCCCAGUGAAGAAACACCAGAGUGUACGGAAGCAGAGGAUGCAUUGUCAGAGGACACCCGAAGGUGACUGAAAGAAGCUCGGCGGGAAAGCUGAGUGCUCAGAAGAACCAGGGUAACAAUGGAACAAAAUGAAAGCAAACAUUCUACUUAUUUAAAUUUCCCAAGGCAUUUAUUACGGAGAGGGAGAGUGAAGGUGACAAUCAGGUGCCUGUGUGGGUGCCCACCAAACAUCUGAAGAUCUAUCAUGAGCUACAGCAGGAAGAGAGGACUCUGGGAAGAGCCAGAUAUGAGUGAUGGUGCAAAUAAACAUCUCAGAGACGAAGGAGAAAACUGAUCUCCCCAAAACAACGCCCCCUGUCAGCAAGAAGUAGCUAAGAUCAAUCAUUGUUCAUAUUCUAACAGCAGUUAGAUGUGCCUCUUCCAAGGUGGGGAAUGAUAGGGACAGGAGGCAAGGAAAUUCUGGACAGAAAAGGGCAGGUCCCCAGUGAAGGCCCGAACCUGAAGACUGGAACCACAGCCCAAAGUGAGAACAUGCCUUCCUGUUUUCCCGCUCAAAUGUUGCCUUUUCCAAAACCACCCGUGGCCUGCCCCCACCCCCCAUCCUGUGCCUAUAAAAACCCCAGGUUCCACUGGCAGAGAGCAGAGAAGAGGAGAAGCAUCUGGACAUCAGAGAGUACAGUUGGAUGUUGGAGAGAAGCAGCUUGACUUCAGAGAGACGGCUUGACGGCAUCACUCCAGGGGAAGAUCACCUUCCUGCUUCAUCCCCUUUCCAACUCCCUUUCCUGAUGCGGGCCGCUUUCAUCGGCAAUAAAAUUCCCCGCAUUCACCACCCUUCAAUUUGUGUGACCUGGACGCCAAACAAGAGCUGAGGUACCAUGGGUGCAGAUGCAAAAGGCUGUCACACUGACCCCCUGCCCUCACUGGUGGAAAGCAGCCACCUCAUGAGAAAAGGCAGAGGGCCCACUGAGCUGUUAACACUUAAGCCAUCUGUGGAUGGCAGAACUAAAAGAGCACUGACUGUAACAUUCCUUCUGGGGCUUUGGGGGUCAUGGGUACUUCUCCCAGAUGCUGCUCCAGGGCCCACGCAGUUUUGCCCCAGCUAACACUCGAAAGCACUCACCCUGGCUGCUGCAACUGCUCACCUGCCUGUUCCCUCCCA